CAGAGAAUAGUUUAUAAAAAUUUUAAUUUUGGAGAUUAAAGAUAGGGGUUUCCUUUCUCUGA
rnacentral:tRNA from 1 species